GUGGCCUGGCCGAGAGGGCGCCGAGUACCGCCCAGGGCUCAAUUGCUCCGGGAAAAAGAUACCGCGGCUGUCGCCGAGUCCUGGUCCGGAUAAUCUCGUACGUGCUAGCGCUUUCUACGCAGCCUCUAAUCCAGUUUGGCACUUCAUCUUCAAUGAAAAACCCCCACCCUCAUCCUGCCCCAGGUCUUGGACAGUGAUUGAGGGGCCUGUUGAGAGAAGACAGAUUGGACAAAGUUAAUCCCCUGGAGUGUGAAUGUGUUUCAGUAAAUGAAG